GAUGAACGCUAGCGGCAGGCCUAAUACAUGCAAGUCGAACGGUGUAGCAAUACACAGUGGCGCACGGGUGCGUAACACGUAUGCAACCUACCUUACAUUGGGGGAUAGCCUUUCGAAAGGGAGAUUAAUACCGCAUAAGACAGUAACUAGGCAUCUAGUAGCUGUUAAAGAUUUAUCGAUGUAAGCUGGGCAUGCGUCCAAUUAGUUAGUUGGUGAGGUAACGGCUCACCAAGACGAUGAUUGGUAGGGGAACUGAGAGGUCAAUCCCCCACACUGGCACUGAGAUACGGGCCAGACUCCUACGGGAGGCAGCAGUAGGGAAUAUUGGGCAAUGGGCGCAAGCCUGACCCAGCCAUGCCGCGUGCAGGAAGAAGGCGUUAUGCGUUGUAAACUGCUUUUAUACAGGAAGAAACGACCCUUGCGAGGGGCAUUGACGGUACUGUAUGAAUAAGCACCGGCUAACUCCGUGCCAGCAGCCGCAGUAAUAC
rnacentral:rRNA from 1 species